UACAGAGACUGCGAGCGUUAUUCGGAUUCACUGGGCGUAAAGGGUGCGCAGGCGGCCAAGUGUGUGAGGCGUGAAAGCCCGGGGCUUAACCCCGGAAUUGCACCUCAAACUACAUGGCUAGAGCAUUGGAGAGGGUAGCAGAAUUCAUGGUGUAGCAGUGAAAUGCGUAGAUAUCAUGAGGAAUACCAGAGGCGAAGGCGGCUACCUGGACAAUUGCUGACGCUCAGGCACGAAAGCGUGGGGAGCGAACAGG
rnacentral:rRNA from 1 species